UCCUCCUCAGACGUGUGGAGGGGAGGCGACACCACGUCCCCCUCCCGGGCCUGGGAAGGGGCUUCCUCUUUUUCUGUGGUCUGUAAAGACAACAGUGGGGUUUGGAGAGCAGAACCCAGACGAGGGGUGGCAGGUGUGAGAGGUGGUCCCUAGGUAGCUGCUGCACCCACCCCUCUGCAGGGGCACGGGACCCAACAACGUCUCCCAGGAACCCCCAGGCUUUGACUCCUGGCCUCUCAUAUCCCCAGUCCGUCCAUCCCCGGGGGCGCCCUCAAGGCCCCAGGCUGGGUUCUGACGCAGACGUGGCCUCCCGGCAGCCCACAGCUCUAUCAGCCGGGACUCCCAACCAGCUAUUCAGGAAUUUUCUGGACCGGAAAAAAGACAAUGGUGACCUUGGACAAGCUGUCUAACCUCUUGGAAGCCCAGUUUCCUCAGCUGUAAAACCCGCACCUGUCCCCAGCCAGAGGGAAGGAGAGAGAUUUGUUACCUGGAAAGACGACCAGAGUGAUCGGUAAAUACUUAUCGCCGCCCAGUUUUUUGACCCCACACCAGUACUUCCCAGCGUCUUUCAGGGUGAGGUCCCUCAGGGUCACAGUGAACGAGAGCUCCUGGCGGCUGUCACGGAUGGACACCCUGCCCUCCGUUGUUUCCUGGCCUUCCUCUCCCGAAUAGAUGGUACCGGCGCAGCGGGAGAAGAGGAGGCCGGCCUCCCUGCACCAGUACUUCGGGUGGUCCCUCAGCUCUUCCCUGUAGGUGCACUCCAGGGACACAGUGUCCCCUUCGAACCCGCUGAUUUCCUCUGGGCACUUUAGGGCUUCAUAACCUAAAAUCACAGCAGGAGUCGGGGUUGGAAUAACCAGGAUCCAUGCACCAAGGUCAAGGCCAGAGCUUCC